ensembl:snRNA U6 U6 spliceosomal RNA
GUGCUUGCUUCGGUAGCACGUAUACUAAAAUUGGAACCACACAGAGAUUAGCGUGGCCUCUGCAUAAGGAUGAGAUGCAAAUUCAUGAAGCGUUCAAUAUUACA